GCUCCGGUAUAUUGCAAAUAACCUUCUUUCUUUCUGUUCCCGGGCGGCUUCGGACCCCUGUCGGAGAGUAAAUCCCAAGAAUGGAACAGAUAAGAAGAUACUGAGAUUGGACGGUGCUGCCGUGCGGCCGCCGCAGGACAGUUUUAAUAUCCCUGUUUCUCAGGCUGUAGAUGAAGGGGUUCAGCAUGGAGGUGAUCACCGUGUACAUCACUGAGGCCACUGCAGCCUUUCUCGGGGAAGAUGACACAUCUGAACUGAGGUACCCUCCAACGCCUGUUCCGUAAAAUCAGCAAACAACUGACAG
rnacentral:lncRNA from 1 species